AGAGUUUGAUCCUGGCUCAGGACGAACGCUGGCGGCGUGCCUAACACAUGCAAGUCGAACGGGAUCCAUGCCAUGAAGUUUUCGGAUGGAUUGGUGUGGUGAGAGUGGCGAACGGGCGAGUAACGCGUGAGCAACCUACCUCGUACUGGGGGAUAACGUCGGGAAACCGGCGCUAAUACCGCAUAAGACUACGAUGUCGCAUGGCGUUGUAGUCAAAGCUCCGGCGGUACGAGACGGGCUCGCGUCCGAUUAGCUAGUUGGUAGGGUAACGGCCUACCAAGGCGACGAUCGGUAGCCGGACUGAGAGGUCGGCCGGCCGCAUUGGGACUGAGACACGGCCCAGACUCCUACGGGAGGCAGCAGUGGGGAAUAUUGCGCAAUGGGGGAAACCCUGACGCAGCGACGCCGCGUGAAGGAAGAAGGCCUUCGGGUUGUAAACUUCUUUGGCAGGGGACGAAGAAAGACGGUACCCUGAGAACAAGCCACGGCUAACUACGUGCCAGCAGCCGCGGUAAUACGUAGGUGGCGAGCGUUGUCCGGAAUUACUGGGCGUAAAGGGCGUGUAGGCGGGGGGACAAGUCAGAUGUGAAAUACCGCAGCUUAACUGCGGGGCUGCAUCUGAAACUGUUCUUCUUGAGUGUCGGAGAGGAAAGUGGAAUUCCCAGUGUAGCGGUGAAAUGCGUAGAGAUUGGGAGGAACACCAGUGGCGAAGGCGGCUUUCUGGACGACAACUGACGCUGAGGCGCGAAAGCGUGGGGGAGCAAACAGGAUUAGAUACCCUGGUAGUCCACGCUGUAAACGAUGGAUACUAGGUGUAGGAGGUAUCGACCCCUUCUGUGCCGGAGUUAACACAAUAAGUAUCCCGCCUGGGGAGUACGGCCGCAAGGUUGAAACUCAAAUGAAUUGACG
rnacentral:rRNA from 1 species